rnacentral:lncRNA from 1 species
GGAGCAACUGGAAACCACAAACACCCAAACUGGGUAGCAGCAACUUGAACUAAACCGGAGACCUGGCUUAGGGAAAGGAGUCAGUUAAGUUUAGACCGAAUGGUUUAAUCAAGGUAUCAGAACAGACCCAUUAAAGACAGAAAAGAUCUCAAGAAGUGUCUACAGAAAUGUCCUGCAGGAGUGCAAAAAGAGCGGUGGGAGUGUAGAAAGCCCCCUCUCCCCGGCGUCUUUACUUGACCAGCGCUUGCAGGUGAACCCAGAAGGUGUCUUCCCAUCUCUGUUUAAAGAAGUCAUACUCCAGUCUGCAGAGAAAUGCCUGUAUACACAGGGAGUCUUCAAAUUUAUAUCAAGAGGCCUCCAAUGUCAUGCAUCUAAUUACAAUCUAAAUAUAAUCUAAAUAUAAAUAUAGUCAUGCAAUUAUCUAAAUAUGAUAAUGCAAAUUAAUAAAUGCCAUCCCUUCUCA